rnacentral:rRNA from 1 species
AACGAACGCUGGCGGCAUGCCUAACACAUGCAAGUCGAACGAGACCUUCGGGUCUAGUGGCGCAAGGGUGCGUAACGCGUGGGAACCUGCCCUUAGGUUCGGAAUAACUCCCCGAAAGGGGUGCUAAUACCGGCUAAUGUCUUCGGACCAAAGAUUUAUCGCCUUUGGAUGGGCCCGCGUUGGAUUAGCUAGUUGGUAGGGUAAAAGCCUACCAAGGCGACGAUCCAUAGCUGGUCUGAGAGGAUGAUCAGCCACACUGGGACUGAGACACGGCCCAGACUCCUACGGGAGGCAGCAGUGGGGAAUAUUGGACAAUGGGCGAAGGCCUGAUCCAGCAAUGCCGCGUGAGUGAUGAAGGCCUUAGGGUUGUAAAGCUCGUUUACCCGGGAUGAUAAUGACAGUACCGGGAGAAUAAGCUCCGGCUAACUCCGUG